AGACCAAAACAUUAUCAAAGAAACARGAAACGACGGGAAGGGGACUCACCGACUCGGAAGCAAUUCCGAUUCAACUCAGCGAGCGCGAGGUGGCGGGUUAUCGGCGGCGAGGCGGCGAUCGGAACUCCCGAUCAGAUCCCACUGCGAAGAAAACUUUCCUUAAUUCUACGUUUUAGGUCGGAAAAUCUGGCGAUGGAGGAGGAAGAUUGUUCGAUCUCUAAAGCAGUGGCAGUAACGUCUUGCACGGCCAUGACUUUGUUCUACGUCGCCGUUCUCUAUGCCCCUACUUCGAUACUUCGUCUACCGCCUCCUCCAUCACUUCAAGUUUUCAUGAUUCGACGGUUCAUCUGCGCCUUCGUUUCCACUGUCGUCUCGGUCGUCGUCUGCGCUCUAAUCCUUCCUAUAAGGAAAAUGGAGUUUUCUCUUUUAUUAGGAGCUUAUGGCAUCCGAGCAGAUCAUAUUUGGCAAGUUGUGGUCUUUCCUCUUUCACUGACUUCUUUAAUGUACGCUGGGUCAAUGAUCUUAAAGUCUUUGUUAUUGGUGGAUUCAUGGAGAGAAUAUAUGAAUCAUGGAGAAGGCUCCCUUGUGGACUGUGCCAGCUUUUUUUGGAGAAAUUUUCUUGAUUGGGGGCUAUCAACUGUCUCAAAUGUUUUGGCUUGGCGUAAUUAUGUCGUGGCUCCACUAACCGAGGAGCUGGUGUUUAGAGCAUGCAUGAUACCGGUUCUUCUCUCUGGGGGGUUUAAGCCGACCACUGUGAUAUUUCUCUGCCCCAUUCUUUUCAGUCUGGCACAUUUAAACCACUUCAUGGAGUAUUAUAGCAAGCAGAACAACAACUUAGUCAGAGCAAUUACGGUUGUAGGUCUUCAGCUUGGCUAUACUGUGGUAUUUGGAUCAUAUGCAACUUUUCUCUUUGCGCGAUCUGGCCAUCUUCUUGCUCCAUUAGUUGCCCAUGUUUUCUGCAACUUUAUGGGAUUACCUGUGCUUUUUUCACGAAGAAGAGGGGUGGUGUGCCUGGCAUUUGUGGUUGGAAUGGUGGGGUUCCUUUGGCUUCUUUUUCCCAUGACAAGUCCUAAUUUGUUUAAUGAGAGGACAAAUAACUGCAGAUGUUGGCAUGGAUAUUGUACUUGGAACUAGACUGAAAAAUCUCCAGAGGAAGAAAUAAUCUUGUUGAAGAUUAGAGGGAAGUUGGGAAGAAGAGAGAGAAAGAAAGAGAGAGAGAGGGAGAGAAGAAGAAGAAGAAGGAGAAGAAGAUAUGUUCCUGCAUUUACAUCAUGCUGUAUUUGAGCAAUAUGCCAAGGCUGUUUAUUUGGUGUUAGGCAGCGAAGCGAAGGAUGUUGUUUUGGASCAAAGCAAGAAAAAAGGUUUGCGUACUGAACCAGUUUCCAUUCAGCUUCUGAAACCCUUCCACUCUUGUAGAUAUUGUAAUGAUGGCCCCAAAUCCGUAGGGUACCCUGCAAAUUGAGGAUCUACCCCCAACCCCCAUUAAAUUAUAUACAUCUUGUUUGAGUUGAACCCUCCACCUUAAAGUAGCAAAAAUUUCUGUUAUCCUGCCAAGAGUACUCAUCUCCCUUCCUUUUUGACUGAAAUUUCAUGGAAAUAGUGAAGGAUAGAAGAAAAUAYUUAUCAUGCUUAGAAAGAUGAGAUAUAUCAUCUUAUUACUUAGAUCUCCAUAGAAAGGCUUGGAAGUUAGGAAGAUUUUUUCUUUUMUUUUUUAUUUCUUUUUUUUUAAAUCAUGGAUUAUAAAUAGUAAUCGUAUAGAUGGGCCCCCUAAGGAGCAGACUCAAUUGGCAAUCUUGGUCAUGCUGGUUUAAAGGUCUAAGUUCAAAUCUUUUGGUGAGCUUAAUACUAAAAAUCUUUGAUGUCUCCUGGGUUCAGACCUUGGGACGGAUGCAGGUGCCCUUGGGUAUAGGAGAGCAAAACUCCGACUACAAUUAAUCAUAUAUAUUGAAACUCACCAUUUAUACAAUAUGCUAGUCUCCGCAGACCAGACCAAACCAAACCAAACAUAGUUAGACAAAUGUAUUCCUUUGUAUAAUCCAAACCCUUCUGGCAUUCUUGUUCCGUGAAAGAAUCGGAGUUAGGUUGAAUUUAUUUUACAGACACAGGAUUACAGAAAGGUUAGAGUUGUUUGAAUACUGAAAUGGGGUUAAGGCAGAGAUCUUGAGCAGGGUCAGAAAAUCAAGGAAACAUACAAGAGAGGGAGAAGGAAAAUCUGAGGAAAAUGAUGAGAAAGAUGGUAAAAAUGGACCAAUUUGCUUGUUUUCCAUGAAGAAAAAUUCAAAUGGGUCAUCAUUUCUUCUGCCUUUCUUCUCAAAACUAAUCCUCAAUGAGCCUACAGCCUCAGCCCUAGCCUGUGGAGUUCUGGAUUGGACAUCUUCAAUCUUCAAUCUUCUGCUUCUUCUUCUUCUUUAUUAUUUGUUUAAUUAAUGGUCAACCUGGCAAAUACAGGCUACGUCAUGUCCAUGGGUUUCAUAUUUUAUUGGCCCUUUUAACAUUUUUUUUAAUUGUUUUUAUUUUCAAAAUUUAA